rnacentral:rRNA from 1 species
UGGGGAAUAUUGGACAAUGGGCGAAAGCCUGAUCCAGCCAUGCCGCGUGUGAAGAAGGUCUUCGGAUUGUAAAGCACUUUAAGUUGGGAGGAAGGGCAGUAAGCGAAUACCUUGCUGUUUUGACGUUACCGACAGAAUAAGCACCGGCUAUCUCUGUGCCAGCAGCCGCGGUAAUACAGAGGGUGCAAGCGUUAAUCGGAAUUACUGGGCGUAAAGCGCGCGUAGGUGGUUCGUUAAGUUGAAUGUGAAAGCCCCGGGCUCAACCUGGGAACUGCAUCCAAAACUGGCGAGCUAGAGUAGGGCAGAGGGUGGUGGAAUUUCCUGUGUAGCGGUGAAAUGCGUAGAUAUAGGAAGGAACACCAGUGGCGAAGGCGACCACCUGGGCUCAUACUGACACUGAGGUGCGAAAGCGUGGGGAGCAAACAGG